UACAGAGGGGGCGAGCGUUGUUCGGAAUUACUGGGCGUAAAGGGCGUGCAGGCGGUUUGUUAAGUCUAGGGUGAAAGCUCCCGGCUCAACUGGGAGAGGUCCUUGGAUACUGGCAGACUUGAGGAGGGUAGAGGAGAGUGGAAUUCCCGGUGUAGUGGUGAAAUGCGUAGAUAUCUGGAGGAACACCGGUGGCGAAGGCGGCGUUCUGGACUGCAACUGACACUGAAAAACGAAAGCCAGGGGAGCAAACGGG
rnacentral:rRNA from 1 species